AUAGAGACGAGCAGACUACAUCGGUUUUGUCUGCUAUGGAGGCCUCGAUAACUGACCAAAACCUUGAGAUAGCACGUAACCCACAUGAUGAUGCACAACAUAAGGAGGCAUGCUCCAGCUCCAACAGUGCAACCGCAUCCCCAACAUUUUCAAGAAAAGCCAUAGCUGAGCAAAAGACGCCACUGAAGUCACCCAGUGUUUUUCAACAAAC